rnacentral:rRNA from 1 species
CGCUGGCGGCGUGCCUAAUACAUGCAAGUCGAGCGAACGGACGAGAAGCUUGCUUCUCUGAUGUUAGCGGCGGACGGGUGAGUAACACGUGGAUAACCUACCUAUAAGACUGGGAUAACUUCGGGAAACCGGAGCUAAUACCGGAUAAUAUUUUGAACCGCAUGGUUCAAAAGUGAAAGACGGUCUUGCUGUCACUUAUAGAUGGAUCCGCGCUGCAUUAGCUAGUUGGUAAGGUAACGGCUUACCAAGGCAACGAUGCAUAGCCGACCUGAGAGGGUGAUCGGCCACACUGGAACUGAGACACGGUCCAGACUCCUACGGGAGGCAGCAGUAGGGAAUCUUCCGCAAUGGGCGAAAGCCUGACGGAGCAACGCCGCGUGAGUGAUGAAGGUCUUCGGAUCGUAAAACUCUGUUAUUAGGGAAGAACAUAUGUGUAAGUAACUGUGCACAUCUUGACGGUACCUAAUCAGAAAGCCACGGCUAACUACGUGCCAGCAGCCGCGGUAAUACGUAGGUGGCAAGCGUUAUCCGGAAUUAUUGGGCGUAAAGCGCGCGUAGGCGGUUUUUUAAGUCUGAUGUGAAAGCCCACGGCUCAACCGUGGAGGGUCAUUGGAAACUGGAAAACUUGAGUGCAGAAGAGGAAAGUGGAAUUCCAUGUGUAGCGGUGAAAUGCGCAGAGAUAUGGAGGAACACCAGUGGCGAAGGCGACUUUCUGGUCUGUAACUGACGCUGAUGUGCGAAAGCGUGGGGAUCAAACAGGAUUAGAUACCCUGGUAGUCCACGCCAUAAACGAUGAGUGCUAAGUGUUAGGGGGUUUCCGCCCCUUAGUGCUGCAGCUAACGCAUUAAGCACUCCGCCUGGGGAGUACGACCGCAAGGUUGAAACUCAAAGGAAUUGACGGGGACCCGCACAAGCGGUGGAGCAUGUGGUUUAAUUCGAAGCAACGCGAAGAACCUUACCAAAUCUUGACAUCCUUUGACAACUCUAGAGAUAGAGCCUUCCCCUUCGGGGGACAAAGUGACAGGUGGUGCAUGGUUGUCGUCAGCUCGUGUCGUGAGAUGUUGGGUUAAGUCCCGCAACGAGCGCAACCCUUAAGCUUAGUUGCCAUCAUUAAGUUGGGCACUCUAAGUUGACUGCCGGUGACAAACCGGAGGAAGGUGGGGAUGACGUCAAAUCAUCAUGCCCCUUAUGAUUUGGGCUACACACGUGCUACAAUGGACAAUACAAAGGGCAGCGAAACCGCGAGGUCAAGCAAAUCCCAUAAAGUUGUUCUCAGUUCGGAUUGUAGUCUGCAACUCGACUACAUGAAGCUGGAAUCGCUAGUAAUCGUAGAUCAGCAUGCUACGGUGAAUACGUUCCCGGGUCUUGUACACACCGCCCGUCACACCACGAGAGUUUGUAACACCCGAAGCCGGUGGAGUAACCUUUUAGGAGCUAGCCGUCGAAGGUGGGAC